CAUCGUUGUGGGAAGUUGGGAUCGGUCC
rnacentral:piRNA from 1 species